rnacentral:lncRNA from 1 species
CUUGGCAGGGAGACACUGACCUUGGGGUUAAGCUUGCAGAAAGCCCACGUCAACAGAGGGAAACUCUGUGACCACCUGUGUACUUUGGCUAUUAUAGUGAGUACACAACAAGUGCAUACAGAGGCCUGGGAAAAGCACAGGGAAGCAGAAGUCAGGAUAUUCCAAGAACACUGUGAAACCUCAGUCUCUGGAAGAAACAGUGGAUUCUCAAGAGAACCAGCCUUCACGAUAAGAGCCCGUGCUGUGUAAGGUACAAGUUGAGAGCCAACUAUUUUCCAUGUCUAAA